rnacentral:tRNA from 1 species
GCACUGGUGGUUCAGUGGUAGAAUUCUCACCUUCCAUGUAGGAGACCUGGGUUCCAUUCCCAGCCAGUGCA